rnacentral:lncRNA from 1 species
AUUUACAGAUGCGUGUGGGACCCCCUCCCAGGAAGACCGGUGACCCAGGGACCCCCUCCCAGGAAGACCGGUGACCCAGGGACCCCCUCCCAGCAAGACCGGUGACCCAGGGACCCCCUCCCAGGAAAACCGGUGACCCAGGGAUCC